UACGAUCAUUACAACUACACUAGUGUACUACAAGGAAAACAUCCACAAAUAUGACAAACUUUUUGAACAGUAAUACCUUAUUUUUCACUAUUGUUGCCCUUUGUACAAGCCAUGUACAUGGGUACAACUUACCAUAUUCGUCAUAUUAUCCCGUACAACACGAUUCUUCUUCAACAGGAGUAUUUGAUGUCUUUGGACAACUAGCUGGAGUAUUCCUGAUAUACGUUUUGCUGUCAGCAGUUCUGAAGAAUUUUGGAAGUAAAACUACAAAAUAGUACACCUGGCAGGUUUUGUACCAGCGAUUUGAAACACCAAAGAAACUUCGCUCCACACGUCUUUCAGAAUGUUUAUUAAAUGUUUAAAUAAA